rnacentral:tRNA from 1 species
GGGGAUAUAGCUCAGUUGGUAGAGUGUUUGCCUCACAUGCACGAGAUCCUGGAUUUAAUCCCUAGCACCACCA